rnacentral:rRNA from 1 species
UCCAUGUCUUGUAAUUGGAAUGAAUAGAAUUUAAAUCACUUUAUGAGUAUCGAUUGGAGGGCAAGUCUGGUGCCAGCAGCCGCGGUAAUUCCAGCUCCAAUAGCGUAUAUUAAAGUUGUUGCGGUUAAAAAGCUCGUAGUUGGAUUUCUGUCGGUGAGUGGCGCUCCGCCCCUUGUGGUGAGUAGUCGCCAUGCCACCGGCAUCUUCUUGGGGAGUGUGUCUGCACUUCACUGUGUGGCGCACAAGCCAGGACAUUUACUUUGAGGAAAUGAGAGUGUUUCAAGCAGGCGCACGCCGUGAAUACGUUAGCAUGGAAUAAUAGCAUCGGACCUCGCUCCAAAGCUGUUGGUUUCUUGGGUCGAGGUAAAGGUGAAUAGGGAUUGUUGGGGGCAUUCGUAUUUAACUGUCAGAGGUGAAAUUCUUGGAUUUGUUGAAGACGGACUACUGCGAAAGCAUCUGCCAAGGAUGUUUUCAUUGAUCAAGAACGAAAGUUAGGGGAUCGAAGACGAUCAGAUACCGUCCUAGUCUUAACCAUAAACCAUGCCGACUAGAGAUUGGAGGUCGUUAUCUUUACGACUCCUUCAGCACCUUAUGAGAAAUCAAAGUCUUU